UACGGAGGGUGCGAGCGUUAAUCGGAAUUACUGGCGUAAAGGGUGCGUAGGUGGUUGUAUAAGUUAACUGUGAAAUAUCUGGGCUUAACCUGGGGAGUCAGUUAAGACUGUAUGACUUGAGUAUAGGAGAGGUAGUGGAAUUUCCGGUGUAGCGGUGAAAUGCGUAGAGAUCGGAAGGAACACCAGUGGCGAAGGCGGCUCACUGGCCCGGUACUGACGCUGAGGUGCGAAAGCGUGGGAGCAAACAAG
rnacentral:rRNA from 1 species